UGCCGAUAAUGUCGAAACUACUUUUCAAAGCCGAAAAUUGCAGAACAUUUGGUUUGUCGCAGGACGCAUAACAGACAUUUUGAAAGUAUCUAAUAUUAAAGUAUAACAUGAGAACAACGUAAUAACUUUCGUAAUUCAGUUCCCUAUAGUAAGCAAGCAACACAGAGAGAUAAACAUUUUCUCAGUCGCCUUCAAUGGUUUCGUACUUCACCUCCACGGCAAUUUUAGAUGUAUCAAUUUGUUAACAAAAAGCAACUGCCACAUUCUGCAAGCAGUCCGUAAGGAUCCAUUGCACGCAAGGUCUCCAUGGCUCAUUGUCAACCGCAGCCGAGUCACCUCGCCCCUGUCAACAUAAUGGACAACGGAAUCAUCAUCAUGAACUAUUGCAGCGGAGUACCUAGCUAUGACGAGUGCGCUGCGUUGAUAAUAGAUGGGACAAAUUUUGUCACCUUCACGUCCCAUGCCGCUGUACAUGGCACACAAUACUUCAAUCAAAUGAACGUGCAAAAUCGGUACCCGGCAGAAGCGGCAUCCCCGUUACUAAACAUCAGCAGUCACGACCCGGAGCCUUCCUUACAUUCAUCGUCUGAGUGAUAAGAAACUUAACCUCAGUGUCGCUGUCGCAAACAAAUCGGCAAUUUUGUUCGGAAUAUUAUUGUUAGCAAGUGCUGUGGGAGCUGGAGUCUACUGGUUUCAUCAGCUGGCGAUCAGAGUCUUAAUCGCGGCGGAUGUGUCGCAACAAUGUUGCCAGCCACGAGAGUCACCCGACACCUCUCACGAGGCGCUAACACACAUUUGAGGAAAGCGACGGCAACCCAGGCUUGUUUUGCUUAUUGUAACCAAAGUUAUAUUUAGUAGUCCGAAUUCAGAUAUGAAUAGAGCAAGGUGUAUCACCCCAUUAUACAAUUCACUCACUGUUGUUAGCUAACUCAAACUGCAUUUGUGAAUGCAAAUAAUCGAACCAAAUGAAAGUACGUUUAUGACUGAAAUAUUUUAUAUAUAAUUCUUA